rnacentral:rRNA from 1 species
UACGUAGGGUCCGAGCGUUGUCCGGAAUUACUGGGCGUAAAGAGCUCGUAGGUGGUUUGUCGCGUUGUUCGUGAAAACUCACAGCUCAACUGUGGGCGUGCGGGCGAUACGGGCAGACUGGAGUACUGCAGGGGAGACUGGAAUUCCUGGUGUAGCGGUGGAAUGCGGCAGAUAUCAGGAGGAACACCGGUGGCGAAGGCGGGUCUCUGGGCAGUGAACUGACGCUGGAGGAGCGAAAGCCGUGGGGAGCGAACAGG